rnacentral:rRNA from 1 species
GACGAAGGGGGCUAGCGUUGUUCGGAAUUACUGGGCGUAAAGCGUGUGUAGGUGGUUGUCCAAGUUGGAUGUGAAAGCCUUGAGCUCAACUCAAGAAAUGCAUUCAGGACUGGGCGGCUAGAGGACCGGAGAGGAUAGUGGAAUUCCCGGUGUAGUGGUGAAAUGCGUAGAUAUCGGGAGGAACACCAGUGGCGAAGGCGACUUCCUGGCCUGUUCUUGACGCUGAGGCGCGAAAGCUAGGGGAGCAAACGGG